rnacentral:tRNA from 1 species
GGAGCAAGGAAACAUGGAGGGCGUGCCUUAUAACAAUAAGGAUGUAUCGGUUCGAAUCCGAUUUGCUCCA